rnacentral:rRNA from 1 species
CCUACGGGAGGCAGCAGUGGGGAAUAUUGGACAAUGGGCGCAAGCCUGAUCCAGCAAUUCCGCGUGGGUGAAGAAGGUCUUCGGAUUGUAAAGCCCUUUCGUUGGGGACGAUGAUGACGGUACCCAAAGAAGAAGCCCCGGCUAACUUCGUGCCAGCAGCCGCGGUAAUACGAAGGGGGCUAGCGUUGCUCGGAAUGACUGGGCGUAAAGGGCGCGUAGGCGGCAUUGACAGUCAGGCGUGAAAUUCCUGGGCUUAACCUGGGGGCUGCGUUUGAUACGUCAGAGCUAGAGGAUGGAAGAGGCUCGUGGAAUUCCCAGUGUAGAGGUGAAAUUCGUAGAUAUUGGGAAGAACACCGGUGGCGAAGGCGGCGAGCUGGUCCAUUACUGACGCUGAGGCGCGAAAGCGUGGGGAGCAAACAGGAUUAGAUACCCUGGUAGUCCACGCUGUAAACGAUGUGCGCUGGAUGUUGGGGAGCUUAGCUUCUCAGUGUCGUAGCUAACGCGAUAAGCGCNCCGCCGUGGGAGGUACGGCCGCGAGGUUAGAACUACAAUAGAAGUUAGACGG